rnacentral:rRNA from 1 species
AGGACGAACGCUGGCGGCGUGCCUAACACAUGCAAGUCGAACGAGGUCCAACCGGUGGCAACACUGGUGAAGACCGAGUGGCGAACGGGUGAGUAACACGUGAGCAACCUGCCUCGAAGACUGGGAUAACCCCGGGAAACCGGAGAUAAUACCGGAUACCCCCACCGGGUCGCAUGGCCUGGUGAGGAAAUGGAUUCCGCUUUGAGAGGGGCUCGCGGCCUAUCAGCUUGAUGGUGGGGUAAUGGCCUACCAUGGCACCGACGGGUAGCUGGUCUGAGAGGACGAUCAGCCACACUGGGACUGAGACACGGCCCAGACUCCUACGGGAGGCAGCAGUGGGGGAUCUUGCGCAAUGGGCGAAAGCCUGACGCAGCAACGCCGCGUGUGGGACGAAGGCCUUCUGGGUUGUAAACCACUUUCAGCAGGGACGAUUGUGACGGUACCUGCAGAAGAAGCCCCGGCCAACUACGUGCCAGCAGCCGC